GGCCAGAUCUAUGGUCUCUGUCCCUGGGACAUCGUCUCAUCCAGACACUUGGCAUAGCCUUCCAGGUUCCAGGUUUCCAGGCCAUGGCUUUGAUUCACGCUCAGUUCCAGGCUGGAGCUCUUAGGUUCCCCAGGGAUGUUUCAAGACCCAAAGGAAAGAGAGCUGGUUUAGGCCAGAGAAGCAGCUGGGGACACCAGCUUGCUCCUUGGAGCUGCCCCUGGGAGCCAAGGCUUCUGGUGCAUUUGUAUGUUGGAGGCAGCCAGCCAGUUUGGCAAUCCAGCUGACCGCAGAGGCGUUUUUACACAAGUCAAGAAUUGGACCUUUUUCUCUGGCUGGCAGCACUGAUCCCUAAAGUCCUGUGUUUCUGACAACAACUGUCUCCUGUGCAGUCAUCUGUGUCCUGUCUGGUUCUCUCCUACCCUUUGGUCAUCUGUUAACCAGUCAACUCUGGAUUUCUCCAGCCACUGAGUAACAGAGGUCAUGGGAGAGUCCUGUAUUUGUUUGUUUAUUUUUAGAAUGGUCUUGAGUGCAGACUAGGAUGUUUAAUUCAGGGUACAGUUGUCAAAUCACAUUAAAAAUGCAGACAGCAAGGCAGGACAUGGCUGGCUCAUGUCAGCCAGACAUUUCAGUGUAACUGGAGGACGAGAAGACGGACAGGGCCCGUGCUAAUGGAAGUAGACGCAUGGCAAGCUCUGGCUCCUGUUUCUCGUUCUCUGCUAUCCUCCGACCACAAGAAAGAAGGCUCGUAUUUAAGCUAGAAGUUAAAAUGGGAUUCUUGCUUAAUGAGCCUUCCUGUGAUACAGAGAUCAAGUUGCUGACACCUCAAAAGGAGCAGCCCGGUGCUGCCAUUGAGGACUCUUGUCACUGUUAGAGCCGUGAGGCUCUCCAAGAAAGCAGGACCAGUGAGAAGUGUGGGUUUGGUGGUUUAUAUCUUCUUACCUGGGCUGGUGAAAACAGCCCAAGUGAAGUGGCUGGAGUCUGUAGCUCUGCUUAUUUAUUCUGCCUUCUCCUCCCGCCACGCCAACUGCCACCUGGACUGUUGAAUGGCUCACGGCUCCGUUUUUGCCGUGUCAGCACUGCAAGGUCCUGACUGUUGCAGUUGGGGGCUGGUUUCCCGAAUGGGUGGGUAAAUGGUAUCUAACUAUCAAUUUGUUUUCUUGCAUUUCAGUCGUUCCAAGGAAGUCAAGGACGAGCAUACCUCUUUAACUCAGUAGUGAACGUGGGCUGCGGGCCUGCGGAGGAGCGCGUGUUGCUAACAGGACUGCACGCCGUCGCCGACAUUUACUGUGAAAACUGCAAAACCACUCUGGGCUGGAAAUAUGAACAUGCCUUUGAAAGCAGCCAGAAAUAUAAAGAAGGCAAAUACAUCAUUGAGCUAGCACACAUGAUCAAGGACAAUGGCUGGGACUGACCGGAGAGCAUCUGCCCAACCCCGUGUCCACGUGAACGCCAUCCAACUGAACAUUCUACCCAAGCGUGAGAGAGUGACUGAACACUUGGUUCCAUCCAUUUAGGGGCCUUGCCAUCGGGGGCAUUCUCCCACCCUGACGCCAUCUUGCUGGUGACCGGCCUCUAAAUCGCUGUCUCUCUGUCUCUUUGCUUUGUCUCUGUUUGUGAGUUGAUCCUGGCUUCUCUCUCUGUUCUAGUGUUAGCUGAAAACAAAACAACGAAAGGAACAGAUGCCUGCCCGCACGGUGGCAGCCCCCUUGGACGAGGGCCCCAGGGCCUGGGAAGAGCCGCCUGGUGGCCUCUUGUCAGGAGAGCAGUGGCACAGCACGGGGGUGUGAGGAAGAGGGGGACCGCGAGGGGCCCAGGUGGGUAGGGGAUGGGAGAGGGUCGCGCGAGGGACAAACGUGUGCUGCUCCUGGACACCUGGUAACUUAGGCUUGAAAUGGUCGACUUGUCUAAAAGGACAACGAGAAAAAGCAAACGAAAAAAAAUACCUCAUGACUGCAUUCUCUCUGAUCAGAAGCUUCCGUUCCUGACACCCAGUGUGCCAGGUUCGCACAUGAGCACAAGGAGGGGCCCUAAUUCUGGAUGGCGGGGCAGGGGUCUGCCUCUCCCGGUCCAAGCUGCGGCGCGUCCUGGGAGGGGCCCAGAUGGUGUCGAUGACCCUGACGCUUCCCUGCUCCUCCGGGUCAUCUUCUUUGCCUCUCCAGCCGCUGUAGGUGACAGGAGAGGGGACUGCCACGUGCAGUGGGUGCAAGAUCCCGAUCUCCCAAAGGCUUUGACCCGCCCCCAAGGGAAAUCAAUAAUCAAGGAGACCAGGGAACAAAGCAGGAGGGGGGUGGGGGGGGGCCAUUUGGGAGCUCCCUCGGAAGUGGCUCGGAAAACGGGCCAGAGGAAAGAAAAGGUAGAGCCCAUCAGGAAUUUGGACUUCUCCUCCCUGAACCUUAAGAGAAGAGCACUGUGGCAAGAAAGGGGGGCGGGCCGGGGGCAGUGCCAGGAACCGUCUAGGUUGGAACCAUUACAGGUUAGGCGCGUCUCUCUUCUUUGGCAUGCGGUGGUUUCACGGAGAUCCGCAGUUCCUUGUACAUAGAGCUUGGGGUGCUUUUCUCCAUCCGUGCAGAUUGUGGAAAACCAGGUCCCAAAGCUUCCAGCUGAGUGCGCCCCCUGGCCGGUCAAUUUCUCGUGCCCUGAGCGGUUCUCCUUGUACUUGGAUGUUGUGUGUGGAGGGACGUCUGUCCGUGUGGUUCAGCGAUAGGGAGGCUUAGCUUUGAUGUCCUUUGGCAAGUUAUGAAUUCCAGUGUUACACCCCCUCAUCCAAAGUUCAUGCUAUUAGGGAAGGGGACAGCAGGUCCCCGAAAGGCUCAGGAGCGAGAGAGGAGUUUGUUACGUUUAAUCAACACUGUGAAGUCUGUUCUACAGCAAUUUAGCCAGUACGCAGGGCAUGACCGAAGCUCAUUUAACGGAGUUCAUUUCACUGCGCAGACCGAAAAUAUUAUUAUGACUAAGAUAGGUGUAGGUUAUGUUAGGUAAUUCUCAGCUUCUCUUUCUCCAGAUAGGCUGAUUCCCCUAGGAAAACUCUCCUGAAAAAGUCACAAAAGAGUGAGUUCACAGAUGAGAAUCGGUGAAAAUUCUCAACCGAGAUGAAAGCAGCCAAUCCAGGACAUUUUCAGAAUUGAACCAAAGUCCCAGAGGGAGCGAGACUGUUGUGGCAGGGCGUUUUUGUGUCUCUGUGUGCUGCCGGGUGUUGGGCAGAGGGGCCUGGCACAGUAUGGUCCUGCCCUGGCAGAGCCGGGCCGCAGGACUGUUGGGAAGCUGGGGAGCCCCAGGUUCAGCCGUGGACAGCCUCUGUAAGACAAAGCGUUCUUAAAAGAACCGAAGUUUGUUCCCAAAGGCUUCUUACCCACAUCUUCCAGUGCUUUCCUAGCCCUGGGGGAUUAAAUGUUCUCCCCACAUUACAAAAAAGCAGACUGAGGUUCCCAGGAUCCCAGAGAUAUGGUUGCCAGGCCCAAGAUCUCGAUAAGAAACAUUUUCAACUUUCACAUUCCUAAGCUGGCUUGCCAGCACAGAAAUCACAGGCUCCCUUCUCCAUCCCAGCCCUGAAGGUAGUGGCCCUCAUUUCUGAUUAGCCCCUUGACUCAGGGAAUGUCCUGGCUAUUGGUAAUCCUUUCCCUACAAAGAAAACAUGGAUAGGCAUGGAAAAAGGGAGUGUGGUGACCUAGAAAUCUGGACCUGAAGUGCCCUGAAUUUUCAAGGGGCAGAGGAGACCGAAGCGCCACUGUUCUUCCAUGGGGAUGGGGCCUCUGACUGUCGGCAUGGAUCAGAGCAGGCUCCAAUUAGACCCUGGUUCUGGUGGGUUUUUUCCAACGUCUAUCCAUCGAGCAUCCAUUGGGUACAUGGCGCCAUACUUGGUGCAGGAGAUCUGAGCAGGAUGUUGGUACUCCCGUAACUACAGGGGAAAAAAAAGAUUAGGCUUUUUCCCUUUGUGUCAAUGAAACCAAAAGUGCUUCUUAAAACUUUAGCUCCAUUCAUGGCUUGUCUCACCUCAGUCUAGUAUGGGAGAGACCACAGCUGAGCGAUGGCGAAACAGCCACUCAAGGCCUCAGUCAGUUCUUGUUUUAAUUUCCUCACCAAAUUACUGACUCAGAGCAUAACCAAAGACCUCAUCCAUUCACCCCUGGUGGGUUCUUCGGGGAAUUGAAGGUCGGUGGUAUCAAUUAGGCGGGGCACCGGGAGCAGAGAAGCGAGGAAGGGAGAGACGUGCAUGAAGUUCUAUACCUCAGCCAGCAACUGCCUUCACUUUCAACUCAAGUCCAGCCGGCAGACUCUAGUUCUAUGUCCCCCGUGCCACCCUAGGGCCUUGGCGGCUCUGGAUUACACCCAACCCCGCAGGAUGCUAGUCUCAGGCUACUGAUGGGUUUGAUUUGACAAUACAUCAAACACAGCCAGGCUUGACUGCCAGAUUGUCAGCUGGGCCUGACCGAGGGCUUCUCCAGCUCCUCCAGUAAGAUCCCUAAGAUAGGAUAGAGGAAAUCUGGACUGGUGGGUCCGUGUAUGAAAGAGACGUGUCCCCUUUAGAAAAAGAUUUUCAAGCGGAUAUAGAAGAAACAGUUGCUUGUGAAAUAUACUUUUGUAAAUAAUAUUUAAUUUUUUAAAAUAAUAUAUUUGGUGCUGUUUUCUCAGAUCCCCUGAGAGCACUUUUUAUUUUCAUUUUUAAAAUUCUAUGGUUUCCUCUGCAUUUCUUGAAGUAUAUUUUAAGGGAAUCAGUGAUCACCAAUAUACUCUUUAAAAGAAAAAAAAAAAAUCUCCAUCACUUUAGUCCAGACGGAGGCAGUUAAGCCGCGCCUCUCUGCAUUUCUUUCCAAAUGGAACAGACUCUGCAGUACGUUACCAGGUUGAGAACUGAAAUAUGUUCUUGCACCACUAUUGGCUAGAAAAGAAAAUAAAUAAAAUCAAAUUUAGUAACAAUUUAGAGUGAUUCCUCUUGGAAGAAUUUCCAACAGAUUUGGAGUCUUGUUUUUAAGUGUGUGUGUGUAUGUGUGUGUAAAGCAUUUUGGAUUGUGCCUCCUGUUUUCAUUUGGGGGGGGGGGGACACUAUACCUGCAGUUUACACCCUGGGCACAUAAGACUUCUUCCCUUUCUCUCCGGUGGUUUUGUUUCCGAGUGGACCAACAGCAUAACCCUCAAGGAUCUUGUUUUCCCGAGCAUGGAGCUGUUGCCUGUUUGCUUCUUUGUCUUGUCUUUGCGUGCUCAGCUUUUACAGAAGGAAAACCUGUUGUCUGUGAAGAUCAAGCAGAGUCAAAGCUGUGUUUCUCACUGAGAUGUGAGUGUGUUCAUCACGGAUCCAGGGCUCCAGUUGUUGUGGAAGCCGUAUCAUGUUAAACAUUAACUGGUUGGGUUGAAGGAACAUCAAUGAAAUAAUACACAUGCCUUGUAGGUAAACAGCUUUUUUUUUUUUUUUUUUUUUUUUUUUUUUUUUUAAGGUCAGAUUGCCUCAGGUUCAGGAAGAGGCCGGGAAAUCAAAUCUUAAACACAAUCAACUUAACGUAUUUUUUUUAAAAAGAGUCUGCCUCAAAUGAGGAAACAUGUUAGUGGGCUAGGUGGAGGAAGGAGAUAUUCUUCAAAAUUAAAAUACAGUCAUGAAAUCUGCCAGCAGUGAAUGGUAAAGCCAAGAAGAAACAAGCUGUUCUCAUAUUACCAAAUUCCGUCUGCCUGUCUGUUUUUGUAUAACAUUUUGGUUAAAGCGAGCGUCACUUCCCUUUGCCAACCUGCAGAGACUAUCUUUCAAUACAGAAUCUGUCUAUUUAUGCUUGUGUUUACAAACUGUAUUUGUUGGGUUUGGGUUUUGUUUUUCCUCUAUCUUUUAAGUGGCAUUUUCAGGUCACUUUGCUUCAAUAACAAAGAUAAUUUUCAAGUAAUUUGUCUUCACCUUUUCCUGUAUUUGUACAUAGUAAUUCAGUAUUAGAGAAAAGUGCAUUGUUUCUGUCAUAUUUCCAAUCUGUGUUGGUGCUCAUUUGAGAAAAUAAAGUUUUC
rnacentral:lncRNA from 1 species